rnacentral:misc_RNA from 1 species
AAGUCGUAACAAGGUCUCCGUAGGUGAACCUGCGGAGGGAUCAUUAACACGUUUCCGAACGUUUAAAACAUUUUCACAUCAACCGCGUGAUAUAAUUGAAUCAAAAACAAACCGACCUAGAAUUAAGAGAAUUCUGUUUAGAAUGCACGGAGUGAUGAGUGUGCAUGCGGGCAACUGCAUGCAUACGGUGUAUCUAAACUAGUAUCGCGUGUCUCACUGUGUGCGCAAGUAUACAGUGUUAUUGGACUUUACAAGACCUCUUUCUUUUAGGCUUUUAACCAUAGUUCCCUUCAUCGCUGGAGCGCAACAACCCCUUUCACCACUUAUAACCACUUGACUGAUAUGUUCUCAGCAUGGCGAAAGCCGCGUAUGAAACAACAAAUAAUCAAAUAUCUAAGCACAACUCUUAGCAACGGAUAUCUUGGUUCUC